rnacentral:rRNA from 1 species
UACGUAGGGUGCGAGCGUUAAUCGGAAUUACUGGGCGUAAAGCGUGCGCAGGCGGUUUUGUAAGCCAGAUGUGAAAUCCCCGGGCUUAACCUGGGAAUGGCAUUUGGGACUGCAAGGCUAGAGUGUGGCAGAGGAGACUGGAAUUCCUGGUGUAGCAGUGAAAUGCGUAGAGAUCGGGAGGAACACCAGUGGCGAAGGCGGCUACCUGGACCAGCACUGACACUGAGGCACGAAAGCGUGGGGAGCAAACAGG